UCCGGCUUGUCACCGGCGGUUUCCCCAGAGUGCCCACCACUACGUGCUGGCAACUGAGGACAGGGGUUGCGCUCGUUGCGCCACUUAGGGCAACACCUCACAACACGAGCUGACGACAGCCAUGCACCACCUGUGAAUCACCCUCGAAGGCGACCACGUUUCGGCGGCUUGCAGCUACAUGUCAAGCCCUGGUAAGGUUCUUCGCGUUGCAUCGAAUUAAGCCACAUGCUCCACCGCUUGUGCGGGCCCCCGCCAAUUCCUUUGAGUUUCAACCUUGCGGCCGUAGUCCCCAGGCGGUUCACUUAAUGCGUUAGCUGCGGCACCGAGGGGAACCCCCGACACCUAGUGAACAUAGUUUAGGGCCAAGACUAC
rnacentral:misc_RNA from 1 species